UUGACCUCGGAUCAGGUAGGAAUACCCGCUGAACUUAAGCAUAUCAUUAAGCGGAGGAA
rnacentral:rRNA from 3 species